UAAUACGAACUGUGCGAACGUUAUUCGGAAUCACUGGGCUUAAAGGGUGCGUAGGCGGCGGCACAAGUCAGGUGUGAAAUCCCCCGGCUCAACCGGGGAACAGCGCUUGAAACUAGGUCGCUCGAGUGAGGCAGGGGUGUAUGGAACUUCCGGUGGAGCGGUGAAAUGUGUAGAGAUCGGAAGGAACGCCGGCGGCGAAAGCGGUACACUGGGCCUUGUCUGACGCUGAGGCACGAAAGCUAGGGGAGUGAACGGGAUUAGAUACCCCGGUAAUCCUAGCCGUAAACACUGAGCACUGGAGGAGAGGGGCUUCGGCCUUUCUCCUCGCAGCGAAAGCGUUAAGUGCUCCGCCUGGGGAGUAUGGUCGCAAGGCUG
rnacentral:rRNA from 1 species